rnacentral:rRNA from 1 species
UACGUAGGGGGCAAGCGUUAUCCGGAAUUACUGGGUGUAAAGGGUGCGUAGCCGGAAAUGCAAGUCAGAUGUGAAAGCCCGAAGCUCAACUUCGGGAUUGCAUUUGAAACUGUAUUUCUAGAGUGCAGGAGAGGAAAGUGGAAUUCCUAGUGUAGCGGUGAAAUGCGUAGAUAUUAGGAGGAACACCAGUGGCGAAGGCGGCUUUCUGGACUGUAACUGACGGUGAGGCACGAAAGCGUGGGGAGCAAACAGGAUUAGAUACCCGCGUAGUCC